CCUACGGGAGGCAGCAGUGAGGAAUAUUGGUCAAUGGACGAGAGACUGAACCAGCCAAGUAGCGUGAAGGAUGACUGCCCUAUGGGUUGUAAACUGCUUUUAUAUGGGAAUAAAAUGUUCCACGUGUGGGAUUUUGUAUGUACCAUAUGACUAAGGAUCGGCUAACUCCGUGCCAGCAGCCGCGGUAAUACGGAGGAUCCGAGCGUUAUCCGGAUUUAUUGGGUUUAAAGGGAGCGUAGGUGGGUUUUUAAGUCAGUUGUGAAAGUUUGCGGCUCAACCGUGAAAUUGCAGUUGAAACUGGCAGUCUUGAGUACAGUAGAGGUAGGCGGAAUGCGUGGUGUAGCGGUGAAAUGCAUAGAUAUCACGAAGAACUCCGAUUGCGAAGGCAGUUCACUGGACUGCAACUGACACUGAGGCACGAAAGUGUGGGUAUCGAACAGGAUUAGAUACCCGUGUAGUC
rnacentral:rRNA from 1 species